rnacentral:rRNA from 1 species
UACGUAGGGUGCGAGCGUUAAUCGGAAUUACUGGGCGUAAAGCGUGCGCAGGCGGCUUUGCAAGACAGAUGUGAAAUCCCCGGGCUUAACCUGGGAACUGCAUUUGUGACUGCAUGGCUGGAGUGCGGCAGAGGGGGAUGGAAUUCCGCGUGUAGCAGUGAAAUGCGUAGAUAUGCGGAGGAACACCGAUGGCGAAGGCGCUCUGCUAGGCCGCAACUGACACUGAGGGACGAAAGCUAGGGGAGCGAACAGG